GCUCGCUUGAGCCCAACCUCCCACCCGUGUUUACUGUUACCGCGUUGCCUCGGCGGGCCCACUGGGGCCUUGGUCCCGGUCGCCGGGGGGCAUCUGCCCCCGGGCCCGCGCCCGCCGAAGCGCUCCCGAACCCUGUCUGAACAGUGAGUCUGAGUACGAUUGAAUCAUUAAAACUUUCAACAACGGAUCUCUUGGUUCCGGCAUCGAUGAAGAACGCAGCGAAAUGCGAUAAGUAAUGUGAAUUGCAGAAUUCCGUGAAUCAUCGAAUCUUUGAACGCACAUUGCGCCCCCUGGCAUUCCGGGGGGCAUGCCUGUCCGAGCGUCAUUUCUGCCCUCCAGCACGGCUGGGUGUUGGGUGCUGUCCCCCCGGGGACACACCCCAAAGGCAGUGGCGGCGCCGCGUCGGGUCCUCGAGCGUAUGGGGCUUUGUCACCCGCUCGGGAAGGACUCGCCGGCGCUGGUCUUCCUCUUAGGCGGUCCUUCGGGGCUGUCUUCCUUCCGGUUGACCUCGGAUCAGGUAGGGUUACCCGCUGAACUUAAGCAUAUCA
rnacentral:rRNA from 1 species